rnacentral:lncRNA from 1 species
GGGAAUUUACGUGGUUCGGUCAAAUGACCUACAUCCACGGGAACAAUAAUAACAGCAUUCCACUAUAAAAAAUAUAGAAUCCACAGUACAAUCUUUGAAAUACACGGUGAAAACAGAAAAGAAAAAACGGUUAGGGUUGUAGGCAAAUCUUCCUCCAUGAUGCCGCUCCGAUUAAAUACGUGAAACAUCCUAUACACACGAACACAACAUAUAUCCACUCUACUUGAAAACAUUGGAAUAAGAAGCAAUGUAAAGCAAUAACUCGGACGCAUUUUAUUAGGUAAGAACAUGAUCCAAAUAGCAACUCAGGUCAAAACAGCAGAUUUCAAGUUCAGCGUGCAAGAAUAUAUACCGUUUGAAUAGAUCAGCAUGCAUAUACACGAGGACGAUAAAAUAAUGGAGUUAUGCGAACACAUACACCAAAGCAGCUAAGCAACAGAACUGAACCAUCAAUAAUCUUCGAUAAUGUCGCAUCAGUUAUUGCAAAAUCCACCUUCAAAAGGUCACCAAGCAUUCCAGAAAGAACGAAUUAAAACUAGAGUUAAUUGAUAUCCUCCCAAAAUGAGGAUAACAAUAGUUGAACAACAAACGCAUAAAAUUCAACACCACCCGCCUACCAGUCGUAUACUGUUGGAACCAACACAACACGUACAUUGCAGCAUUUAUUUUAGCACUGAUCAGAGCCACCGAAAUACCAUCCUAGUACCCAUUCAGUCAAACAAUGCAUAUCAACUAGCGCACACCCCGUAAAAGAAACCAUCAGGAACAUAUAAAAAUGGCCUAGAUCACAUAACUGCAUGGCGACACUACCAAACAUCCAGAUCUAGAAAUCCAAAUGCCAAAAAAUCAUUGGAAUAGAAGAUAUACAUAAAAUUUACUGCAAAGCUGCGAGAGAUAACUGCACAAGAAUGCUACUUCAAAGGCAUAGAAGUUGACCUGGAACAACCGCCCAAUAGGACCAACCAUUCUGUAGUGUGUCAGAAGUUAAGAAUAAACACACAGAAGCGCUAUUUACAAGGGCCAGUAAAACAAAUUUCAUAAACAAAUCCACGAAAAAUAUGAAACAGCUUUCCAAGACGAAACACGUGAGCGGAAAAUGCAGAUCUUAAAAACAUCGUUCUGCUUUUACUGCUUCUGCUAGAGAGAAGAUGAGGGAUGCACUUGAACCAUGGCAUCCUACAGCAACCACUACAUUUGCAGAUUGAAAGUAUCUUCACCACACCAGCCUACAGAUAUCAAAUAACAAUAUAGAUGCGAGACGAGAGACGAGAAUCAAAGAAUUAAAACCAAUUAUCGUGCGUCCAAAAAAAUAAAACCACCAUAACUGCUGUAGAAUCACCAAUCACCCCAACCUUUCCUUGAAUACCCUUCUCUCCGCAUACCGGAGCACUCGCUCGAACAGCACAGAAGUUGGUCCACAAUUCUCCCAAAUGAGAAAAUACAAAAGGCAUAUCAGAAAAGUUCAGAUUUCAGAAACAGCUACCAACUCCUGAAUGCCAUUGUGAUCUUCGUUCCCCCAAGAUAGAAAUCAGCCAAAAAGGGGAUCCGCGAACUGCACAAAAGCAAGUUCGCAAAAUGAUAGUAAACCUCAAUUAAAAAACCUUCGUAAUUCAUCAUGAAUUAAAAUAACAAAAAGUUCCUAAACCCUUUGCUACCACGGUAAUAUCCAAAUCCCUAGUAAAAGAUUCCCUCACCAAAAUUCACCCGAGGCUACAACAAAAUUGCAUUCAAAGUUAAGAGGCAAUCAAGUCCCCCGAGGAGGAAAAUUAAUAUAGAUGAAUAGGAGCAUCAUUUCCAUUUCAAACUUCAGUUGCUUACCGUGCUAACUUAUAUUAUGAAUUUUAGAGGUAUUUUCUAGAAGUAACCAGUUACACUUGGAUCCUUCAACACCUAAACCUGCUGAAUAUAUUGGCCAAACAUAUAACAACGGAAGAGGAAAAUUCCAAUUCAAUUACAAAUCCCUAAACCUGCUGAAUAUGAAAGCCAAAUGUAGAAAAACGGAGAAGAAAAAUUAAGUUGAAGAUCCAAACAAAGAAGCUUUAAAAAUCAGUCCCGGUUAUACUUUAAAUCCUUCGAUACUCCAAAUUGAACCCCAGUUCCUGCCAAACAUAAGACACUGAACCAUAGAAGAAUGGAAGGGAUCAUGGUGAAAAUCCACAAAAAAAAAAUUAAUAACCAGUUAAAAAUCAUCAGUUAUACUUACGUCCUUAACACCCAAAGUCCAAUUACAAAUCCCUUAUACUGCCAAACGGAAGAGAAAAAUUUUGAAAAUCCAAACAAAGAAGCAGCAGCUUUAAAAACCAGUCAAAAUUAUGCUUAAAUCCUUCAGUACGCCAAAGUGAUGUUUAGGUUGAAGACUUGAAACCCAUAGAAAGUCCAAUUGCAAAUCCUAGCUCCUGCCAAACAUAAGACACUGAACUGUAGAGAAACAAGAGAGAUUAAGGUGAAGAUCCAGAAAAACCAGUCACCAGUUAUGCGUACGUAGAACAAAAGACAAGAUUAAGUUGAAAAUCCAGACAAGGAGAAGCUUUAAAAACUAUAGGACGAAAAUUUGAAAACCAUUCAGAAGUCACCCAUUUAGGUGCAAAAUCCUGGUUAAACCAUCCAAGAAGAGGUCCUUCAAUAUUUCAAACUCAACUUACAAUUUCCAGAUGCUGCCAAACACAUGGUUACUCAACAUGGAAGAUUGAAAGAGAUGAACAGAAAAGAAGUUUCUAGUUAUGCACAAAAAACAAAAUCAUAGUUGCAAUUUGCCCAAUAGAAAGUGAAAUCAAAGACAUCAUGGUUACAGUUUCCCUUAGUAGUUAAGUAAAAUCAAGACACGUUAAAAGCUAAUAACAGAAAAUCCUUCAAUACUUCGCAUGCAAGAACAGUUUAAGGCCAGCACAACAAUCUACAACAGUUUUAACAUAAUUCAGCCCCCUCACAGCGUUCAAGCAAAAUUCUCCAAUUACGGGUAGUGUGACCAAUUAUGGCAAACGCGUAUGCAGAAAGCUGAAAAUAAAUGAAAGAAACAGCUUGUCAAACUGAUGGAAGACCAGAUCAAACAAAAACACCUGAGAACAAAUGGCAAAGUUGAGUUGGGAAAACUAUGUGUAGACAAAAUCUUGCUCCUGAACCCCCAAAGUUAAUCUCCAAUACACUAAGUCGUUCAACUGCACAAAAGCAUGUUCACAAUUCAAUUCCAAUACCUCAACCAAAGAAAACACAACACCAAAAAAGAAGAACUAAAGUCAAAUCCUCUUAUCCUUAUUAGUGAGACUGAGAACUGAUAACCCCCCACAACCGAUACACCGUGUGAUUCUGCUCAGAGAUAACUGGAAGCAUAAACAACUAUACAAUUCGUGUUACCGAAUCCAAUAACUUUUAUGUGCUCGGCCAAAAAUAAAAAGCGAUAAAAAGCAAAAGUGAUUAUAUAUGAUACAGUCAGCAUAUAUGGUCAACGACGACAAAUAAGUGCUCAUUAAACGCCUACGGUCCUAUCUUGAAAGUGUGUCAACUACUAGGAUGAGGGAACAACAGGUUGGGCCUAUCAUCAUUCUCAAAACUAUCAGUCAAAAUCAUGAACAAAACACAAACAGCUAUACCGAGGUAGAAGUCACCAUAUGAAUGAAUAUGGUAGUCAAAAGUAUCGAUUGGAAGACAACACUGCAAAGGAACAGGAAUUGACAUGUUCAUACUAAAUACAUGGAAAGAAAAUAAGAGAGACAAAAGGAAAGAUCCAGGGCAUUCAAACUCCAGCUAGAAGUCACCAACUCCACAUCUAUCUCGAUUACACGGACAAUGUUAACGAUCGUAACACUGCAAGAAAACAGGUUGAAAUUGAACUUUACACGAACCAUUAAUGCUAAAAAAUAAAUAUGGAAGAAAAAUUCAGUAGAGAAGACAAGUUUAAUCUAGAUCAUGAGCCUGUAUUAUUUUUGCAGAGCUUUUUUCCCAAAUCAUAUCUUCUUUUCCACACCAAUGAAAAGCAUUGGAGGUCAUAAAACAACGUGAAACAACUAUAUAAUCAAGUUAUUUUUAUAAUAUUUAGGGGAUAGAAAGAAAAAAGAAUAAUAUAACAAGGACAUAUCAAUCUCAGAAUCUUGAACUCUCGGUGCAAUCCCAUACCCUUCAAUUGGUUCCUAAGGAAAAGAGAAACAAAAACCGAUUUCCAACCACGAGAGAAUAACGAAGGAAACAACACAAAGUAGCAAAUUUAAAAUUAAAAAAAGCAAAAAUCAAACAAAUGAACCAGGCAAGUGCAAAAGCAUAUCACCAGGAUGCACUCUACACCCAUGAUCGGACAACACUGCACGGGAAACCAACGACAUUUAAUUCAAAUGCUGCUAGCACAGUAGGUUGGAAUGAACAAAAAGGAAAGAAGAGUUUCGAAAAACUGUUUUAGGAAACUAGAUUCCAUCCACUGUAUGCAUCGUGCUCAACAACCAGGCUACAAUGCUGCAUAGAAAAUAAACUACGUUUUAAUUCACAAUGCAAGCUUUAAAAUAUUUAGUUAAAUGAUCAAGGAAAUAAAAUGCAUAGAGAAUCAGAUUGCUUUUAUGGAAUUAGAUAUAUGGUCCUCGGGUCUUGCGAAAUAUUCUUUCCAAUAUCUCCGAUCUAUAAUCCCCAAUCUCCCAAAUAGGCAAAUACACUGCAAACCAAGCAAAAACAAGCAAACCUAAAUCUCUCUAGGAAUAAGAAUAGUACAGAAUAGGAGAAAUUUUAGAAAAAAGCAAGGAUUCAGAGAGUUCUCAGUUUCUUCAGAUCUGGGCAAAAGUAGAAUUCAUCCUCCAAACACCAACAAAAAGCGAGCAUUCAUAAUCCAGAUAAUGUCGCCUUAACAAUCAACAGAACAGAACAGCUGCAUAGAAUUUUCAGAAAAAGCAAGGAUUCAGAGAGUUCUCAGUUUCUUCAGAUCUGGGCAAAAGUGAAUUCAUCCUCCAAACACCAACAAAAAAGCGAGCAUUCAUAAUCCAGAUAAUGUUGCCUUAACAAUCAACAGAACAGCUGCAUGAAAGAAAAGCCAUGUUCAAACAACACAACUAUCCCUGAACCAGAUCAUCAAAUUAGAAAAGCUCAACCAAACUUCCAGGUCAGGAAAGAUCUUAAAUGAAGCCAACACAUCAUCCACAUAAUUCGCUACACCUGAAGAGAGAAAAUCACAAAUUCCAAUCCAGCAAACAAGAAUAGCACCCUGUCCAUAUGUUCAUUGCCUAGUUCUUUUCCCUGUGAAACUGUGUGAAACUAUAACCAUUCCCAAAAUUAUCGAAUCCAGAAAGAAGCAUCUUGAUCAGCAGCUAAGUAAAUCCAAAAUCCACAAAUCCAAGAAUAGUUCUAUAAACUAGAUAGAAAUUCACAGGAAAAACAGAUCAAAGAACACUCCCCCCCAAGCAAUAUGAAGAACAUCAAAGAAAUGAAAUGCACAGGAACAGACACAGAGAACACUAAAGCCAGUUAGAAGUCACCAUUGUACAUGAAUGCCGUUGCCAAAAGUAUGAUUGGAAGACAACACUGCAAAUGAACAGACGAAAUUCAAUUGAUAUCUGGAUUACUUAUGCAUAUGAGCUAGCAAAAAAAUAAAAAACCAAGAGACAACAGAUCCAGUGCGUCCAAACUCCAGGUACAAAGUCACCAGCUACACAACAUUACUUGACCAAAACAAAAACACUGCAAGAGAACAAGUUCAGAUUUAAUUUUGCACGACCAUUAACGCAAUAUAGUUAAAAAAGAAAAGUUAAUCAGAUUAUGAGCCUGUAUUAUUUUGAGCCUUCCUGCCAUACAUCUUCUAUCCAUGAUUCCAGAUUUCUGUAACCAAUUUAAAGCAUUGCAGGACAUUAACAAGAAAACUCCGUAAUCGAACUAUUAUUUAAUACUAAAAAAAAUUGGUGCACAUGUUAGGAGGGAAUUAUCAAUUUCGGAAUCUUGGACACAUCGCCUAAGUGCAAUCCCAUAUCCUUCAAUUGGCUCCUAAGGCAAAAAAGAGAAACAUAAACCGAUUUCCAAGAGACAGAAUUAUGGAGGAAACAACAAAGAACCAAAGCAGCCAAUAAUUUAAAUAAAAAAAAAAAGGAAGCAAAACUUAAACAAAUGAACCAGGCAAGUGCAAGAAACAUAUCGACCAGGAUGCACUCAACACCCGCGGUAACAAGAUCAGACAACACUGCAUAGGAAACACAUCCAGAUUUAACUCACAAUGCUGCCACAAGUAAGUUGGGAAAAAAAUGCAGGGAAAGAAAGUUUAGAAAAACUGUUCUUGAUCUCUAUCCUCUGUAUGUGUCGCACUCAAAACAACCACGCUUCAAGAUGGACACCGCUGCAUAGAAUAUAGAUUCACAUUUUAAUUCACAUGCAUGAUUUAUAAUUGAAUUUAAAAAAGGGUAAAAGUAGAGAAUCUGUUCUGUUUUAAGGAAUUAGAUAUCUAAUCGUCCAUGUCGAAAAUUGCAGAAAAUUCUUUCCAAUAUAUCCGAUCUAUAAAUCUCCAACCUCCCAAAAUACACUGCAAACAAAGCAAAACCGAAGCUAAAUCCCUCUACAAUAAUAAUGAUAAGAACAGUCGAAGAAUAGAAGUUUUAGGGGGGAGCAAGGGUAGUGUUCUCGGUUUCUUCGGAUCUAGGCAAAAGCAGAAUUCAUCCUCCAAUCACCAACAGAAAGCAAGCGUUCACAAUCUAAAUCGCGCCUGAAUAAUCAGAAAAACAGUCCCGUAAAAGAAAAGCCAUGUUCGACAAGCAGAACCGUAGGUAAAUCUCUAUACAUAAGAUCAAUAGUUGAAGAAUAGGAGAAGUUUCAUAAAAGGAUAGGGUAACGAGAGUUCUCAGUUUCUCCGGAUCUAGGAAGAAGCAGAAUCAUCCUCCAAUCACCGACAAAAAGGAAACGUUCACAAUCGAGAUCUCACCUGAACAAUCAGGAAAACAGUUCCGUGAAAAAAAGGAGGUCAUGUUCAACAACACAGUACCGUAACAGAACAGAUCACAAAUUAGAAGAGCCCAACCAAACUUCCAGAUGGGAAAAUAUCUUCAAUUCAACUAACAGAUCAUCCAAAAAAAUUCGCCACACUUAAGUAGAGGAAAUCAUAAUUCCAAUCCAGCAAACAAGAAUAACACUCCGUUCAUAUAUUCAUCACGUAGUUCUCUUCUCCCUGAGGCAAAUCAAUAAUCCACAAAUCCGAAUACAGUUGCAUAAACGGAAUCAGAUCACAGUUCACAGUAAAAGCCUAUCAAAUCUUCUAAAUCAUGGAUGAAAUCUUGAAAUCGGAAACAUAAGAGAACAACACCAACACGGAGAAGACUAAAGCAAAUAUUCACAAAAAGAGAGGAAGAGUAGCAUUAGCUAAAAAGAGAAAAGAGUCGAAACUGAAACCACUGCACCAACGCAUUCAAAAUUCAAAAUAACCUACAAUGCAG